rnacentral:rRNA from 1 species
UACGUAGGGUGCGAGCGUUAAUCGGAAUUACUGGGCGUAAAGGGUGUGUAGGCGGUUGUUUAAGUUUGGUGUGAAAUCUCCCGGCUCAACUGGGAGGGUGCGCCGAAUACUGAAUGACUUCGAGUGCGGGAGAGGAAAGUGGAAUUCCUGGUGUAGCGGUGAAAUGCGUAGAUAUCAGGAGGAACACCGGUGGUGUAGACGGCUUUCUGGACCGUAACUGACGCUGAGACACGAAAGCGUGGGUAGCAAACAGG